AUACGUAGGUGGCAAGCGUUGUCCGGAAUUAUUGGGUGUAAAGCGCGCGCAGGCGGUCCUUUAAGUCUGAUGUGAAAGCCCACGGCUCAACCGUGGAGGGUCAUUGGAAACUGGGGGACUUGAGUGCAGAAGAGGAAAGUGGAAUUCCAAGUGUAGCGGUGAAAUGCGUAGAGAUUUGGAGGAACACCAGUGGCGAAGGCGACUUUCUGGUCUGUAACUGACGCUGAGGCGCGAAAGCGUGGGGAGCAAACAGGAUUAGAUACCCUGGUAGUCCACGCCGUAAACGAUGAGUGCUAAGUGUUAGGGGGUUUCCGCCCCUUAGUGCUGCAGCUAACGCAUUAAGCACUCCGCCUGGGGAGUACGGUCGCAAGACUGAAACUCAAAGGAAUUGACGGGG
rnacentral:rRNA from 1 species